AGUGAUUCCUCUGGUGUGGUGUACCUCAGAGAAAAUAAACACUGUUGCAAGAGCUGAGAAGAUAUCCUUAUUGCUGGAUGGUUGCUCUCUGGUCGUACUUGAGCCCCCUGGACCAUGUCUGCAAAUGCUUCUGAACAUUGACAGAAUUUCUAAAGGAUCGCUGAGGACUCCCCCUCCAUGCGUGACAUCUUUGAGAAAUUUCCACGCUUUCUGGAGAUGCCAAGUUUGACUGGAACCAACUUUGCAUCCCUCGGCACUGACACUGAGAAGGUUUCAAGGACCCCACUACUACGAGGCGAGAGUUUGACACGGUAGUGUCAUCACUGCCAUGGAUGACAACGUAACCAUUCCUGUUGCUGAUUGCCUGACUUGCGCAGUGACAAGCUUUUCAUGCUCUACUGGGUGUGUAACUUGGCAUAUCCGCCACAGUUUAACUCUGUUUUUGCCUCUUUUGAAUAUGUGUACGAUAUAACCAUCUCAACCAACAAGUGGGCCAAGGUACUGGAACAUUUCUCACUUCAAGUUGCUCUGUAGUCACUGGACAUUUUUUUAAACAUCUACGCAGACACCACCACUCCACACCAUGUGUAUUUUAAUUACUUCUGAUUCCACUGACAUGCAGACUACAUCCUAUGCAAAUUCAGGUAAUUUACCUGGUACUGGAGAAACAGCAUUGUAUGCCAUUCUAAGUGAUACUUGCCUCCUUGUUUUGCAAAAAUGUACUGUUCUUUGAAUAUAACUUAAAGUAAGAUCAUGUUGACUCUGAGGUUUUCUCCGGUUGUCAAGCACAACCUUAACGUUUUGUAAGUAAGUAAUAGUCACAGGAUAUGCAUGCAUUUGUAAUUUGAAUUUUCGUUGAAAACGGCUCACCAAG